rnacentral:rRNA from 1 species
GACGAACGCUGGCGGCGUGCCAAAUACAUGCAAGUAGGACGCAGUUGCGAACGGGUGAGUAACGCGUAGGUAACUACCUAUUAGAGGGGGAUAACUAUUGGAAACGAUAGCUAAUACCGCAUACUAGUAGAUGGACCUGCUUUGUAUUAGCAAGUAAGUAGUGUAAUGGACUACCUAGGUAACGAUACAUAGCCGACCUGGGAGGGUUAUCGGCCAACACGGGACGGAUAAACGGCCCAGACUCCUACGGGAGGCAGCAGUAGGGAAUCUUCGGCAAUGGGGGGAACCCUGACCGAGCAACGCCGCGUGAGUGGAGAAGGUUUUCGGAUCGUAAAGCUCUGUUGUUAAGGAAGCGGUACUUAACCAGAAAGGGACGGCUAACUACGUGCCAGCAGCCGCGGUAAUUC